AGCGAACGCUGGCGGCAGGCUUAACACAUGCAAGUCGAGCGGGCCCUUCGGGGUCAGCGGCGGACGGGUGAGUAACGCGUGGGAACGUGCCCUCUGGUUCGGAAUAACUCAGGGAAACUUGAGCUAAUACCGGAUACGCCCUUUUGGGGAAAGGCUUGCUGCCGGAGGAUCGGCCCGCGUCUGAUUAGCUAGUUGGUGGGGUAACGGCCUACCAAGGCGACGAUCAGUAGCUAGUCUGAGCGGAUGAUCAGCCACACUGGGACUGAGACACGGCCCAGACUCCUACGGGAGGCAGCAGUGGGGAAUAUUGGACAAUGGGGGCAACCCUGAUCCAGCCAUGCCGCGUGAGUGAUGAAGGCCUUAGGGUUGUAAAGCUCUUUUAUCCGGGACGAUAAUGACGGUACCGGAGGAAUAAGCCCCGGCUAACUUCGUGCCAGCAGCCGCCGUAA
rnacentral:rRNA from 1 species